rnacentral:rRNA from 1 species
GAUGAACGCUGGCGGCGCGCCUAAUACAUGCAAGUCGAGCGAACGGACUAGAAGCUUGCUUCUCUGAUGUUAGCGGCGGACGGGUGAGUAACACGUGGAUAACCUACCUAUAAGACUGGGAUAACUUCGGGAAACCGUAGCUAAUACCGGAUAAUAUUUUGAACCGCAUGGUUCAAAAGUGAAAGACGGUCUUGCUGUCACUUAUAGAUGGAUCCGCGCUGCAUUAGCUAGUUGGUAAGGUAACGGCUUACCAAGGCAACGAUGCAUAGCCGACCUGAGAGGGUGAUCGGCCACACUGGAACUGAGACACGGUCCAGACUCCUACGGGAGGCAGCAGUAGGGAAUCUUCCGCAAUGGGCGAAAGCCUGACGGAGCAACGCCGCGUGAGUGAUGAAGGUCUUCGGAUCGUAAAACUCUGUUAUUAGGGAAGAACAUAUGUGUAAGUAACUGUGCACAUCUUGACGGUACCUAAUCAGAAAGCCACGGCUAACUACGUG